AUUUAUAUAGUUUAAAAAAACAUUUCAUUUUCAAUGAAAAAAUAAGAAUAUUAUUUAAAUCUUUAUAAAUU
rnacentral:tRNA from 1 species